CCUACGGGCGGCAGCAGUAGGGAAUUUCGCGCAAUGGUCGAAAGCCUGACGCAGCAACACCGCGUGAAUGUUAAGCCCUUCGGGGUGUAAAGUUCUGUCAAUAGGGACGACUUUUGACUGUACCUAUACAGGAAUCACCGGCUAACUCCGUGCCAGCAGCCGCGGUUAUACGGGGGGUGCAAGCGUUGUCCGGAAUCAUGGGGCGUAAGGCGUUCGUAGGCGGGACGGUAAGUCUGAUGUUAAAGCCCGGGGCUCAACUCCGGUUCGGCAUUGGAUACUAUCUAGCUAGAAUGUGGUAGAGGGAAAGGGAAUUCCUGGUGUAGCGGUGAAAUGCGUAGAUAUCAGGAGGAACAUCGGUGGCGAAAGCGCUUUGCUGGACCAUUAUUGACGCUGAGGAACGAAAGCCAGGGGAGCAAAUGGGAUUAGAUACCCCUGUAGUC
rnacentral:rRNA from 1 species